rnacentral:lncRNA from 1 species
UAGAAUCUGCAUGUGGCAAGGCAGUUCCUUACGAUGCUGAGUCAUUGGCAGCAGCGAUUCCAGGCUUUAGAUCUUAACUGCUACUAAUGAAAAUUCUCUUACGGCUUUCGGUGACCUCUGCCUAGGUCUUUGAACAUCUCUCAUCUCUUAGUGUUUAUUUCUAAAUAGCGUCUUUUUGAGAAGGAAGAUGGGAACAGAAUACCUAAUAACUCACUCUAGAGAGUGAGUCUUUGCCUUACAGUUUCAUGGUAUCGGCACUAAAUUUACUUUCUGGUGUUUGCGAGAAACAGAACAUUAAUUGAGCAGCUACCGUGUGUUAAGAGAACCUAUCCUCGGGAAUUCAUAAUUGAAAGAAGAACAUGAGCUGAUGGCAAUUUUCAUCUAACGAAUGGAUCUCUUACACAUCCCGUGAUCAUCAAAGAAGGAGAUUUUAUGUGGGAAUGUCUUCUGAGAACAAAGCAGAAAAAACACUGAUAAGAAUUACUGAACAUCAAACUAUGGCUCAUUGCACUGAUUCCAAUGAUAUUCAUUCAAAAGAGGUACCUCUAAGUGAAAAGAAAAACAGAUUACUUUGUCUCUUUCACCGGAAUCAAGCCACGAAUGAUGGAAGCAAACAACAAAGGCUGGCCCAGAAUCGAAUAGAGGUAAAUUAAACUGCCAAACCUCAUCAAAGAGAACUAGCUAAAUAAUUAUAGUACAUAUACAAGCUGCAAUUCUAUAUAGCUAUUAGAAAACGAG